AUUCCAGCUCCAAUAGCGUAUAUUAAAGUUGUUGCAGUUAAAAAGCUCGUAGUUGGAUUUCUGGUGCAUUCCACUGGCCUAUUGGUUAACUCCAACUUGGCUCAUUUGGAAUACGCCAUCUUUAGGCAGACCCGUCGUGGCAUUAGGUUGUCGUGAUGGUUACGCCUAUCGUUUACUGUGAAGAAAUUAGGGUGUUCAAAGCAGGCUUAUGCCAUGAAUACGUUAGCAUGGAAUAAUGAGAUAGGAUUUCGGUACUAUUUUGUUGGUUUGUGUACGGAAAUAAUGAUUAACAGGAACAGUGUUGUGGGUAUUCGUAUUUCGUUGUCAGAGGUGAAAUUCUUGGAUUUACGAAAGACGAACGACUGCGAAAGCAUUUACCAAGGAUGGUUUCAUUG
rnacentral:rRNA from 1 species